UAUGGCCACAUCACAUUGAGACACUGGUUCCUGUAUGAUCACAAAAGUUAAGCAAUGUUGAUACUUAGUACUUAGAUGGGUGACUGCUUGGAAAUACCAGGUGCUGUAAG